GGUCUUGUGGUCUAGUGGUAUGAUUGUAUGUAUAAACCGAUCUGGAUCUGAAGAUGUGAAAACUAAUGAUGUACAGCUCGCUUAGGGUAAACCCAAGCACAGCUUGCGAGAGGCCCCGCGUUCGAGUCGCGGCAAGACCC